AUGAAAAUGGCGGCUUUAUGUAGUGAGUUCGAGGGCUUGGUACAAGUCAAGAAACAGCUAAUAUCAGUGAUAUUGCUUUGUAAAGAAAGAAGACCUUUACACAUCACGAAGUGGAAGACGCACAAGACUUGGAUGCAUUUACACCGGCCAAAGCAUAGCUUGACCUGAAAGAGUGCUGCAGUCAGAAGGCCUAUCUCCUAUAUACACUAUGUGUUUUCGCUGUCUGUCAGGUGAGAAGAAGAAGGACGAUGAGACAGUGGACAGCCUUGGUCCUCUGGAGAAGGGUCAAGUGUGCAAUGAAGCCUUACGAGAACUAAGAGUUCAGCUUAGUAAGAAGAACACUGCAGACGAGUUGGAUGGCUUCCGCUGUAUCUUUAAGAACUUUUCCUCAGGGUACAGACUUUCCACAGAUUCUGCAGAGGAAUGAAGUUGUCAGUGCUCAUAAACUGUAUGUUAUGUGUGCAUGUAUAGGAACAGACGUAUGGAGUUGUGCUACAAAAACUGGAUUUACUGAAGGAGGCUGUGGAUGUGUUUGUUGAGUCACUGUCCCUGCCAGACUGCUGGAUUAAAGACAUCUUUAUGGCCCAUAGAGCUGCAGAUCAAAGAAGCGCAGAAAUACUAGAACCUUAUUGAGGCUGGCUUUUCUAAGAGCACCUACAUCAUCUUACAGAUUGCUUUGGCUUAUUAGAGAUGUUGACCAAGCUUUGGCUUUGUUCACUGAGUUCAGGGAUCAAGAUCCAUAUAGCAUCAACAUGGACAUGUUCUCCAACCUGCUCUAUGUUAAGGCAGGGUCACAAGAUGUCUGUUUUCACUUGUUCCUCCAAGUGUUUCACAGAGAAGAUAGAAACGUAAACAGUAUCAACCAGUAGGGAUACAGUGCAUGGAACACGGGGACGUAUGCUUACUGACACAGGAGUUCACUGUAUUAUGUGAUGUUUAUAUUUGAUUUCAGAAUUAUUUCAUGGGUUUUUGCAAAGACCUAAGUGGGUAAAAAUGUUAAUCUAGGACAGACUGAUGUUCAUUUAAGGACCCUUUUAUAAAGGCAAUAUUAAAAUAAAAUUUGGUUCUGCUGAUGCUAAUGCAUGUUUCCACAAAGCACGAAGCCAGAGCUGAGCUGUUUGGCCCACAACUUUGUGAAGUAGUUGUUGGGCUUGAUAGACCUGGACUAUGUUGGAAGGAUUUUUGAGGAUGCAUAGACAGUUGUUUAUGCAUUAAAAAUGCAUUUUUUUGUAAAAUUUGCGAUGUUGAUGCAAAUGUAGAAACAGUCUAAGCUCUGGCAAUACAUUUAUUUGGUCAAAAGUAUAAAAAAGAAAGUACACAAACAUUUUUAAGGAUUUUAUUGUGGAAAAAGUAUUUACAGCAAUAGUGUGUGGUGGACUUGCAGAGAUUAAAACCAUGCACAAGUCCUUUAAUCAUGCUGAGCAACUUCCCUGCUUGACCAUCUCCAUUUCCUUAACAGUAUAAUUCAGCCCCAUUUAAUGCAUUAAAAGCUUUACUGGCAUAACUGUACCUGUGCCAUGACAAAAUGUACAAGUAUAAGGCCAGUGAUACUCUUCUUUUUCUCAUUUUCCACAUAUCAUACAGAGACUAAAACCCAACAAAUAAGUUACUCAUGUCUGUACAUCCAUAACCUGGUUAAGCUUAUUCAUCUGUAGCAUAGAAAUCCAUCGUUUGAAAACACCAGUGAGCCACACUGCUGCAAUGGGUGACACGUUUCUUCCUCAUGUAACGUGCGUGUUUUUUUUUUGUUGUUUUUUUUUGUAAACCAAAAAGGGCUCCAGAUGCACAAAAGAAGUCUCUGAGGUAACAAAGUCAACACAUGAUCUUGGCUCUGUGUGCACAACUCCACUAACUUAAUGUGUGUGUACACCACAUUUCUCCUGAGGUAGAAACAUGUCAACCCGUGCAGAAAUGUGGCUGACUGGUGGGGUUUUUUUUGUUUUGUUUUGUUUUUGUGGCAUACACCAACAAUGCAGGGUUUAUCCUGCAGAAAGAGGAGCUAAAUCAGGUUCUGGAUUCAGACACUGAUAGUCUCUCUAUAGGUUUUGUGGAAAAUAAUUAAAAAUAAAUGUCACCCUAUCUUUUAGCUACACUGCAAAAAGUGAAUAUAUAAAGCAAACAAACAUUAAAGACAACAGUAUAAAAUUACUAGCAAUUCUAACUUUGAAUAUAUGAAAUACAUGAAUUUCCAAAUAGGAUGCCUUGGAUGACACACAAAAUACUACAACUAAUUACAGCAAGGAAUGCAGCAUGCAUGUCUGGGGACACCAAUGCCUAUAGUACAGCCAGGGCUGCUUUGAGGGACGGCAUCAAAUCUGUCAAACUAGGAUACAAAAGGCAGAUUAAAGCUAAAUUUAACAACUCUGCAAAUCCCCAGCAGGUGUAGGAGGGCGUCAAGGCAGUAACGGACUAUAAGACAACAUCUUCCACAGUGAACUGCUGUGCCACCUUGGCUGAGGAGCUAAAUCUCUUCUACACCCGUUUUGACAGACACAACACAGACCCAGUACUGCCUCCCCUGCCCUUUACUGACACCGCCCCAGUCCUGAGCACACAUGAAGUGAGACUCUGUCUGCGUAACAUCAACCCCAGGAAAGCAGCCGGACCAGAUGGAGUGCAGGGAUAGGUGCUGAAAGACUGUGCGGCUGAGCUAGCAGAGGUCUUCACCACCAUCGACAACACGUCAUUGUCCACAUCGUGGGUCCCAGCCUGCUUCAAAGCAGCCACAAUAGUUCCUGUCCCUAAAAUUGUAACUUUGCCCUACAGGCAGUGGUCGAGAAGCAGGCCUCCUGCUCAGGCUUUUGCUUUAGGUCGUCUCUAUGGUGCCAUGGCACUGGAGCCUGUCAUGUAUCAGGAUGUGAGGCAGCUUCAGCCUAGUGAGGUCAGGGUCGAGGAAAUCCACAGAAACUCAUUGUUCAAAGAGGUAAACAGAAGAAACACUUUUAAAUCUCUUGUGAAAUUUCUAACAUAUUCAGUUUCCUUGUAACAUGUCCCAUAGUGUCUGUUGCUUUAUGUCAAAUACAUUUUUCAAGGUUGAAGGAUUUUGUCAAUUCAUCAUAUGUGCAGGACAUACAGAAAAUUGAAAUACUGUUUCUCUCUCACCUAGUAUUGGGUGCCAUAACA